UAGAGUUUGAUCCUGGCUCAGGAUGAACGCUGACAGAAUGCUUAACACAUGCAAGUCGACUCGAGUCUUCGGACUUGGGUGGCGCACGGGUGAGUAACGCGUAAAGAACUUGCCUCUUAGACUGGGACAACAUCUGGAAACGGAUGCUAAUACCGGAUAUUAUGGUUUCUUCGCAUGGAGGAAUCAUGAAAGCUAGAUGCGCUAAGAGAGAGCUUUGCGUCCCAUUAGCUGGUUGGUGAGGUAACGGCCCACCAAGGCAAUGAUGGGUAGCCGGCCUGAGAGGGUGAACGGCCACAAGGGGACUGAGACACGGCCCUUACUCCUACGGGAGGCAGCAGUGGGGAAUAUUGGACAAUGGACCACAAGUCUGAUCCAGCAAUUCUGUGUGCACGAUGACGUUUUUCGGAAUGUAAAGUGCUUUCAGUCGGGAAGAAGUCAGUGACGGUACCGACAGAAGAAGCGACGGCUAAAUACGUGCCAGCAGCCGCGGUAAUACGUAUGUCGCAAGCGUUAUCCGGAUUUAUUGGGCGUAAAGCGCGUCUAGGCGGCAAGGAAAGUCUGAUGUGAAAAUGCGGAGCUCAACUCCGUAUGGCGUUGGAAACUGCCUUACUAGAGUACUGGAGAGGUAGGCGGAACUACAAGUGUAGAGGUGAAAUUCGUAGAUAUUUGUAGGAAUGCCGAUGGGGAAGCCAGCCUACUGGACAGAUACUGACGCUAAAGCGCGAAAGCGUGGGUAGCAAACAGGAUUAGAUACCCUGGUAGUCCACGCUGUAAACGAUGAUUACUAGGUGUUGGGGGUCAAACCUCAGCGCCCAAGCUAACGCGAUAAGUAAUCCGCCUGGGGAGUACGUACGCAAGUAUGACACUCAAAGGAAUUGACGG
rnacentral:rRNA from 1 species